rfam:Schistosoma haematobium scaffold647_11, whole genome shotgun sequence.
AGCUUUUCGAAUCCGUGCUGAGAUUUCUUCAGAAACGAACCCAUUACAGCUGAUCAAACUUCAAAGAAUAGUGAAGUU